rnacentral:rRNA from 1 species
AAUCAACGCUGGCGGCGUGCCUCAGACAUGCAAGUCGAACGCGAAAGUUCCCUUCGGGGGAUGAGUAGAGUGGCGCACGGGUGAGUAACACGUAGGUAAUCUACCUUUGGAUGGGGAAUAACAACCGGAAACGGUUGCUAAUACCGCAUAAUGCAGCGGCACCUAAUGGUGACAGUUGUUAAAGCGGGGGAUCGAAAGACCUCGCGUCUGAAGAGGAGCCUGCGGCGGAUUAGCAGUUGGUAAGGUAACGGCUUACCAAGGCGACGAUCCGUAGCCGGCCUGAGAGGGCGGUCGGCCACACUGACACUGACAUACGGGUCAGACUCCUACGGGAGGCAGCAGUCGGG